rnacentral:rRNA from 1 species
CACGUAGGGGGCGAGCGUUGUCCGGAUUUAUUGGGCGUAAAGAGCUCGUAGGCGGCUCGGUAAGUCAGGUGUGAAAACUCUAGGCUCAACCUAGAGACGCCACCUGAUACUGCUGUGGCUAGAGUCCGGUAGGGGAGCAUGGAAUUCCUGGUGUAGCGGUGAAAUGCGCAGAUAUCAGGAGGAACACCAGUGGCGAAGGCGGUGCUCUGGGCCGGAACUGACGCUGGAGGAGCGAAAGCGUGGGGAGCAAACAGG